GACGAACGCUGGCGGCGUGCUUAACACAUGCAAGUCGAACGGAAAGGCCCUGCUUUUGUGGGGUGCUCGAGUGGCGAACGGGUGAGCAACACGUGAGUAACCUGCCCUUGACUUUGGGAUAACUUCAGGAAACUGGGGCUAAUACCGGAUAGGAGCUCCUGCUGCAUGGUGGGGGUUGGAAAGUUUCGGCGGUUGGGGAUGGACUCGCGGCUUAUCAGCUUGUUGGUGGGGUAGUGGCUUACCAAGGCCUUGACGGGUAGCCGGCCUGAGAGGGUGACCGGCCACAUUGGGACUGAGAUACGGCCCAGACUCCUACGGGAGGCAGCAGUGGGGAAUAUUGCACAAUGGGCGGAAGCCUGAUGCAGCAACGCCGCGUGCGGGAUGACGGCCUUCGGGUUGUAAACCGCUUUCGCCUGUGACGAAGCGUGAGUGACGGUAAUGGGUAAAGAAGCACCGGCUAACUACGUG
rnacentral:rRNA from 1 species